rnacentral:rRNA from 1 species
CUUCUUUGGGCGGCGUGGUUUGGGAUGGGUCUAGUGAGUGGAGAGGAGGGAAGGAGGGCGUCGGAGGGAGAGAGAGAGGGGCUAGGUCUAGCUGCGGUGGUGGGGAGAGAUUGUGAUGGAAGGGCAGCGGCCGCCGCCGCGGGAGGAAGGGAGCGGGAGAGGAGGAGGGGAGGAGGGGAGGAGUACCCGCAGAGGUGGUACGGUGCUUAGGGGCGCUGGGUGGGGUAGAAGCACGGACGGAGCCGUUGGUGGAGGCGGCGUGCAGUCUCAGGGUAGGCACAGGCGCGGCCGAGGCAGAGGUAGAGGAAAGUACCCUCCACUGGGCGUGGGCCGGGGCGCCGCCCCCUCCCCGCCGCCGCCGGAGAACAUCUAGGGUAGCCCUAGGGCAGGCCUAGUGCCGGUCGUGUAAACCCUGCGGCUAUGCUUCGAGCAGGCGGAGUUGUCGUGGUCGUCGCCGCCACUGCGACUGGCCGGGUUCCUCCUCGUCCCGUCGCCGUCCUUCCCGCGCGGGUUCAUGGCCCACCACGACCAGACGUACCAGCGGCGGCCGCACGUCAAACCGACCCACUACGUCGAGAGGGAGGAGUGGGGUAUGUAGGUCUAGAGUUUCUUCGUCAUAGUGAUGCUACCUACGCCGUAGACGUCUUGACCACCGUACCUGUUGAAGAAGGUGACACUUGACCACCGUAACUAUGAGAUGAAUAGUUACCUAGCUAUAUAAUCCUGCCGACGGAAACGAGACUAGCUGUCCAGGUACUGUAGAGCGACUUGGUGAUGACCUACACCGCAGCUGCUUCGUGAUGUGGACCGAACGAGCGGCCGCGCGCGCACGCACGAAGUUACGUGCCGCGAAGCAGCUCGACCGGCCUGGCGCCGUUAGCGGCCUCGGCCUCGGCCUCCUCCGCUGUUCUACGACGACGACGCCGACGCAGGAGCCUCCGUCGUCGACGGGGAGCGGCUGGAGUGGUUGGAGGCCGCAGGCGGUACUCGAGGCGCGUCCUGGGGAAGAUGUAGCAGGCCCUCCUCUAGGUCCCGACCCAUUAGGGGGGUAGGGGUAGACGGGAGGGAGGGAGGGGACACGGGGAAAGAGAAGGAGAUCAACGCUUAAAACCAUACGACGGCGACAAAUAAACCGACGCGGCACCGCAUGACAGUCGACUUUUGACGAAGAAAUAAAAGAUGAGGUCAUAACAUACCUCAUCAUAUAUUCCUGCAGAAUGACAUCAUACCGACUCCGUCACUGGUCGAACCAUCAAUCAUGAUCGACUCUUUUAAGUACUACGACCGACCCUCGUUUUUUAAAUAUCCGAAUCAACGACAUAACCAAGACAACAACAUACCCCUAUAUACGUAUCUAUACAUUGCACACCCAAGGUUCGUACGAAGGCUCUAAAAAAAAAUUUAAAACAACCGAGAACGUUGUGAACCUAAUAAGUAAUUAUAUUGGGUGGUCGCUACGAAGGUAAAAUUGUGUACAUGAUCACACGAUUUUGAUGAUGACGUGGACGAAGAAGAAUCGGACUCAUCAUGUAGUCCGAACAUAAUUGAACACAAUUAACAUAAUUGAACAUCGGAUCAGUGACGUCAGUGGAACACGAAAAUAGAAGAGACACUACAGUAAACGGAAGCUCAGAUGAAUAACUUCUGGAAUACGAGCAUAUAGAAAAAUCAGGGAGAUAAAGGUAUUUACACUGUGACAAAACAAAGAUUUAUGAACUGUAUAUGUUCAAACUCCCGUAAUAGGAUUUGGGAACGAUACUAACUAGGUAGAGGAGAUGAAACAAUGAACACGAAUUAACUCUACAACGAGUUCCCAUCACAAACCGGUCGUAUAUAUUUACUAUACCGGCGAAUGAAGUUAUACACACAACUGAGUUUUGAUAGUUUUAUAGAUCUUUCUCUCACUUGAGUGAAGUAUCUAAGAAAUUUAGAAGUUACCAAUACCAAAAACGUAAUGUCUAAGAAUUAGAGCCGACUAAGGUCUAAGAAUUAGAGCCGACUAAGGUCUAAGAAGGUUCACGAUCGAUCGAGGUUUUCGUUUAACAGAAGUAAACCUUCUACGUUGUAAGAUAGUCUUAGGUAAGAGGAUGAGAAAAAGAACAUGACAUACAGUAGGUAACAAGUUGGGAUAACCAUUCAAGAACAUCACACAGCGAGACAAGUCUUCACGUAAAAAUAAAAUCCUAAACGAAGGACACACCAUGACCUACCGACUCAUAAUUUUGUUAAACCAAUGAUAGCCUUCGUGAAAUUAAGAGACCUUAAUUUGAACCUGUUCGUACGUAUAUACACAAGUUAAAAAGACCUAAUGCACUACCGUAAGAUACUAAGACAAAUUGUUGAAUUCAUAUACAUACUUACACGAGCUCAGGUACUAAAUAACAAGACAAAUUGUUGAAUUCAUAUACAUACCUACACGAUGUAAAUCUAGCUGGAUAGUAUCUUUAGACGAAUUAAACUUGACCUUCAUCUACCAUGAUUGUCAGUCAAACAGAAGAUCAGGUACAGAAACUACAUGUGGACGAGACGACAACAAUAAAUAAUUAUAUGUCUAUGUCGGCAUACAUAUCAGUGAUUGUGUGAACCUGAACGGUUUUGUAAGUACGUCCGAAGACCACCUGCACCACCACUAGGAGGACAAUCCUCUAUCUCCUACACUCGAUUCGGCGACAGACCAGCUCCUUCUUUCAGCAACAGAAAUGACCGCUUUGUUUAACGACGCCGUCGGUACGAACACUCGAAUACUACACAGAGAUCAAAUCAAACAAUCAAACACACUUGGCAAGAGAUACUACAUACUACAUAACGACGACAAUCGCCAUUUACACUACAUACUACUCAACUGAACUACCAAACAAACUCCAACAGUAACCGUACCUAAUAGAGAACACUUCGAAUGACAAUGAUUAUGUAUGUGAACGACGAUAAUCGACAUUUGUACUCAACUGA